rnacentral:lncRNA from 1 species
AAGGUAGACAAGUAUUGGGCAGGAUGUGGGGAAAUUCUAACCCUUAGACAUUGUUGGUGGGAAUGAAAAUGGUCAAAACUGCUGUGGAAAGCAGUUUGAUAGUUCCUCAGUAGUCAAAACCAGUCACCAUAUGAGCUAGCAAUCAUAUUCCGAGAUAUAUACCCAAGACGAAAACACGUGAGCACACAAAAACUUGCAUGAAUAUUUAGAGUAGCAUCAUUCUCAAUAGUCAAAAUGUAGAAAUAACCCAAAUGUCCAUUCACCGAGGAAGGGAUAACAAAAGUAGGAAACUCAUACAAUGGAAAAUUUUUGGCCAUAAUAAAAUAUCAUAGAUCUCAUGAUAAUACAGUUCUGAUAUAUGCCACAACAUGGAUGAACGUGGAAAACAUUAUGCUAAGUGAACGGACUAGACAGAAAAGACCACAUAGUUUAUUAUUCCAUUUACAUGAAAUGUACAAAAUAGGCAAAUCCAUACUGUCAGUAAGUACCUUGGUUUUUUUCUAGGAACUACGGGGAGUAAGAGUGGGCAAUGACUACUAAUGGGUCUGUAGGAGUUUCUUUGUUUUUAUUUUUUUGUUUGUUUGUUUGUUUUUUAAAAAAACAUCUUUUUUAGGUCUUGAAAAUACUCUGAAAUUUGAUAAUUGUGAGGAUUGUAUAACUUUGGAAUAUACUGAAAACAACUGAACUGUUAAAAAAAAGUGGGGGGGGGCGGUAGGGAAUAAGGAUAUCCAUUCAGCUUUCACCAAUUAUUCCAAUGCAUAUAAUUAUUCUUUGUAAAACAUAAAAAGAGAAAUGGAAAAGAAAGAAACUAUUUCCAAUAGAAGUGAGUCCAGUUCCUGCCAUCACAUUUGGGAAACUUCUCCCUCCUAAAGGGCAUGGGUAGACACAGGAGGAAUGUCCUUGCCCAGUACCAUUAACAACUGGUCUUCAGCCAAGAAUCAACCUGGCUCUUGCAGGGAAGACAACUUGCUUAACUCUAUCCACUAGUCAGAAAGUAUGUAUUUUUUAUUUACCUGACCCUUAAUUAUAAAGACAUUGGUGUGCCAAAUCGUUCCGUGGCCCUCAACAACCCAGCUAUGCACAAUUCUUCUUGUG